rnacentral:rRNA from 1 species
UACCAGCACCCCGAGUGGUCGGGACGUUUAUUGGGCCUAAAGCAUCCGUAGCCGGUUCUGCAAGUCUUCCGUUAAAUCCACCUGCUUAACAGAUGGGCCGCGGAGGAUACUAUAGAGCUAGGAGGCGGGAGAGGCAAGCGGUACUCGACGGGUAGGGGUAAAAUCCGUUGAUCCAUUGAAGACCACCAGUGGCGAAGGCGGCUUGCCAGAACGCGCUCGACGGUGAGGGAUGAAAGCUGGGGGAGCAAACCGG